rnacentral:rRNA from 1 species
AGCGAACGUUAGCGGCGGGCCUAACACAUGCAAGUCGAGCGAGAAAGGGGCUUCGGCCCCGAGUAAAGCGGCGGACGGGUGAGUAACACGUAGGUAAUCUUCCUUCGAGCGGGGGACAACGGUCCGAAAGGACCGCUAAUACCGCAUACGUUUCUCGGGACCUCGGUCCUGGGAAGGAAAGCUAGGUAGCAAUAUCCGGCACUCGAUGAGGAGCCUGCGUCGCAUCAGCUAGUUGGUGGGGUAAUGGCCCACCAAGGCGAAGACGCGUAGCUGGUCUGAGAGGAUGAUCAGCCACACUGGGACUGAGACACGGCCCAGACUCCUACGGGAGGCAGCAGUGGGGAAUAUUGGACAAUGGGCGCAAGCCUGAUCCAGCCACGCCGCGUGAGUGAUGAAGGCCUCGGUCGUAAG